rnacentral:rRNA from 1 species
ACAGAGGUGGCGAGCGUUGUUCGGAUUUACUGGGCGUAAAGGGCGCGUAGGCGGCCGCGUAUGUCGGGUGUGAAAUCCCAGGGCUCAACCCUGGAAGUGCGCCGGAAACUGCGCGGCUCGAGUGCGGGAGGGGAGAUCGGAAUGCAGGGUGUAGGGGUGAAAUGCGUUGAUAUCCGGCGGAACACCGGUGGCGAAGGCGAAUCACUGGAACGCAACUGACGCUGAGGCGCGAAAGUGGGGGGAGCAAACAG